UACGAAGGGGGCUAGCGUUGCUCGGAAUCACUGGGCGUAAAGCGCACGUAGGCGGAUUUGUAAGUCAGGGGUGAAAUCUCGGGGCUCAACCUCGGAACUGCCUUUGAUACUGCAAAUCUCGAGUCCGGAAGAGGUGAGUGGAAUUCCUAGUGUAGAGGUGAAAUUCGUAGAUAUUAGGAAGAACACCAGUGGCGAAGGCGGCUCACUGGUCCGGUACUGACGCUGAGGUGCGAAAGCGUGGGGAGCAAACAGG
rnacentral:rRNA from 1 species